rnacentral:rRNA from 1 species
GAUGAACGCUGGCGGCGUGCCUAAUACAUGCAAGUCGAGCGAACAGACGAGGAGCUUGCUCCUCUGACGUUAGCGGCGGACGGGUGAGUAACACGUGGAUAACCUACCUAUAAUACUGGGAUAACUUCGGGAAACCGGAGCUAAUACCGGAUAAUAUAUUGAACCGCAUGGUUCAAUAGUGAAAGACGGUUUUGCUGUCACUUAUAGAUGGAUCCGCGCCGCAUUAGCUAGUUGGUAAGGUAACGGCUUACCAAGGCGACGAUGCGUAGCCGACCUGAGAGGGUGAUCGGCCACACUGGAACUGAGACACGGUCCAGACUCCUACGGGAGGCAGCAGUAGGGAAUCUUCCGCAACGGGCGAAAGCCUGACGGAGCAACGCCGCGUGAGUGAUGAAGGUCUUCGGAUCGUAAAACUCUGUUAUUAGGGAAGAACAAAUGUGUAAGUAACUAUGCACGUCUUGACGGUACCUAAUCAGAAAGCCACGGCUAACUACGUG